rnacentral:rRNA from 1 species
AACGAACGCUGGCGGCAGGCUUAACACAUGCAAGUCGAACGAGAUCUUCGGGUCUAGUGGCGCACGGGUGCGUAACGCGUGGGAAUCUGCCCUUUGGUUCGGAAUAACAGUUGGAAACGACUGCUAAUACCGGAUGAUGACGCAAGUCCCAAGAUUUAUCGCCAGAGGAUGAGCCAGAGUAGGAUUAGCUCGUUGGUGUGGUAAAGGCGCACCAAGGAGACGAGCCUUAGCUGGUCUGAGAGGAUGAUCAGCCACACUGGGACUAAGACACGGCCCAGACUCCUACGGGAGGCAGCAGUGGGUAAUAUUGGACAAUGGGCGAAAGCCUGAUCCAGCAAUGCCGCGUGAGUGAUGAAGGCCUUAGGGUUGUAAAGCUCUUUUACCCGGGAUGAUAAUGACAGUACCGGGAGAAUAAGCUCCGGCUAACUCCGUGCCAGCAGCCGCCGUAAAAC